rnacentral:lncRNA from 1 species
UUUUUUUUUACCGUGCCUAUAUGCGAUAUCUAGACAAACUUUGAGGUAAACUAUAUAUAAUCAUAUUUUUAUUUUUUUAUGAAGGUACCUAUAUAUUUAUUCAGUCAGCAAUGCUGAAAAUGUUUCCACCCUGAAUACCCAUGAAAUGAAAAUGUUCGAAAUCAGCAUUUUCCUGGCUUUCUUCACUGAAUAUUUGGUAAAGUUACACCUAAAAUUCGUUGCGCAAUGUCCAAAGAGCAGAGAGCAGAGAGCAUGUAGAGAGCAGAGAGCAUGUAGAGAGCAGAGAGCAUGUAGAGAGCAGAGAGCAGAGAGCAUGUAGAGAGCAGAGAGCAUGUAGAGAGCAGAGAGCAUGUAGAGAGCAGAGAGCAUGUAGAGAGCAGAGAGCAUGUAGAGAGCAAAGAGCAUGUAGAGAGCAGAGAGCAUG